UAAAAAGACUUGGGGUUUUAAUUUGUACAAAAUUGUGUUGUUCUUAUAAUAAAGAACUACAUGUCAAAUAAGUCCUCAUUGCAUCACAUGCUUUUACACGAAAGGAAAUAAUGUGAGAUAAUUAAUAUCUCACUCUGACUCUCCAUGUACAAUAUCUGAGAAUAUACUCAAAGUAAGCUGUCAAAAUUUCACCACUCUCAAUCUCUGACAAAACAUACACUUUGGAGGUAGGCUAUGUGUGGCCACUUAUUCUCCUAAUAAACCACUUUCUAGUUUUGAUCUUGUUAAUCUACCACAUUCAUUCACAUUCUAAAAAGUAGCUAAUAAAUUGCAAACAAAAGUCAUUCUAUCUGGCCCCAUUCUCUUAAUAAAAGUCAAGU